GCCAGCCCGCUCAGAACUUAAAUGAAUUGACGGGGCCCGCACAAGCGGUGGAGUAUGUGGUUUAAUUCGAUGCAACGCGAAGAACCUUACCUGGUCUUGACAUCCCGGAGACCCUUAGGAAACUAGGGGGUGCUUCCAUCUGGAAGAAUCUGGAGACAGGUGCUGCAUGGCUGUCGUCAGCUUGUGUCGUGAGAUGUUGGGUUAAGUCCCGCAACGAGCGCAACCCUUGCCUUUAGUUGCCAGCAGUUCGGCUGGGCACUCUAAAGGGACUGCCGGUGUUAAACCGGAGGAAGGUGGGGAUGACGUCAAGUCCUCAUGGCCUUUAUGACCAGGGCUACACACGUACUACAAUGGCCGAUACAAAGGGCAGCGACACUGCGAGGUGAAGCCAAUCCCGUAAAAUCGGUCUCAGUCCGGAUUGGAGUCUGCAACUCGACUCCAUGAAGUUGGAAUCGCUAGUAAUCGUGGAUCAGCAUGCCACGGUGAAUACGUUCCCGGGCCUU
rnacentral:rRNA from 1 species